GUGGGGCUGGCGGGGGCUGCCGGGAGCGGAGACCCCGGCUGCGGCCGUGGCACUGCUGCGCGCGGUCCUCCCGCCCUGUCUUCCCGUCAGCAGCGGUGUGGCCGGGACGUCCCUGCCCCGCCCAGGUGUCCAUCCGCCUUCGUCGGUGAGAAGGGCUGCAGGUUUGGGUGGGAAACCCGCCGUCCCAAGAACCGCGUUCGCCCCGAGGAGGCGCGUGCGGGACGCCCUUCCCGGUCUCCCAGAAAAUUCCUACUCAACCUUCCAGACUCAACACAAAUAUUUCCUAAAGGAGGCCUUUUCUAACUCCCUGCCUACCAACACUUUUGAUCUCCUAGGUCUCUCUGUUUUAUCACUGUUCCACCAUUGUGCAUAUUUGUGCUCUGCUACAGCAUUUAGCACAAUCUACUGUGACUCUGUUGACACCUACUACAAGGACGCGGGAGCCUCGAGCAUUACUAACUCAGCUCUGAAGACCAUUUUAUCAGAGGAACUCCAGAACUGAUGUGAGCAGAGUGGCUUCUUUGAAAGACAAUACUUCCUGAAUGUAUAAGUUUUGGGUGUUUUAGGGUGAAAACUCAAGAUUGCUUUAUAGUCACACCAUGCUUUCAAGCCUUACAUGUUCUCAGAUCCAACUAACAGAGAAAACACAGUUGCUAUGAUUGCAACUCCAUCACAAGAUGGUGUUCUGGGACUUGCGAGUGAUUUGGGCUUCAAAUUUUUUGAUUCAAGAUCAAACUAAGGUCUGUGGGCUUUUGAGGUUGGGUUCUGUCAAAAAAAAAAAAAAAAAGGUUUGUACUGUGAUGUGGUGCAGAAACAAAGGAAUUACAAAUAUAAUGAAUGCUUGUUUAUUUUAGGCCAGUCAGUAUAUACAAAUAAGCAAAAAGAAAAAAGAUCACAGAUCCCACUUAUAAAUAACUGCUAUUAGCAUUGAUGUUUAAUUUUCCAGAGUUUUUUCCAUAUGUGUUACAUAUAUUUUUGAAGACAAGAUAUGCCUUAUACAAAAAUAAGAUACAAAGGAAGCUACUACUAUCUACGAAACAGCUUAAGAAAACAGAGGAACAUAGCCUAGAAUGUCUUAUAAGUUCUGGGGACAAGCUAAAAUUCCUCACCAGAUAUCCACAUUCCAUCUCAGGAAUUUCUCAGUGUCAUUUCUGUGUAUCAAACUUUUGCCUGAUAGGCUUUUCCUUGUCUUCUCGUUUUCUUGUAGCAUGUCUUCCUCCCCCCGCCUCCCCCCCCCCCAAAUGCUGGUUCAUCUAGAGCCAUCUCACCUCUAGGAACGUGUAACCUAUUUUGGAAUCGAGUGUAAUAAAUUAGACCUUUGAGUCUCCCCCAAAA